ACGGGUGAGUAACGCGUAUGCAACCUACCUAUCAGAGGGGAAUAACCCGGCGAAAGUCGGACUAAUACCGCAUAAAACAGGGGUUCCACAUGGAAAUAUUUGUUAAAGAAUUAUCGCUGAUAGAUGGGCAUGCGUUCCAUUAGAUAGUUGGUGAGGUAACGGCUCACCAAGUCCACGAUGGAUAGGGGUUCUGAGAGGAAGGUCCCCCACACUGGUACUGAGACACGGACCAGACUCC
rnacentral:rRNA from 1 species